UACCUAGAGGACUAGUGGUUAGGCCUUGGAGCUCUCACCGCCGUGGCCCGGAUUCGAUUCCCAGCCAGGGAA